rnacentral:rRNA from 1 species
CCCUUAGAUGUUCUGGGCCGCACGCGCGCUACACUGAUGCAUUCAACGGGUCUAAAACCUGCUCUGAUAGGGGUGGGUAAUCUUUUGAAUGUGCAUCGUGAUUGGGAUAGAUGAUUGCAAUUUUUCAUCUUCAACGAGGAAUGCCUAGUAAACGCAAGUCAUCAGCUUGCAUUGAUUACGUCCCUGCCCUUUGUACACACCGCCCGUCGCUCCUACCGAUUGAAUGAUCCGAUGAAUAUCAUGGAUUGAGGAUUAUAGCAGGUUCGCCUGUCUUGAUCUUCGAGAAGUGAAGUAAAUCUUAUCAUUUAGAGGAAGGAGAAGUCGUAACA